rnacentral:misc_RNA from 1 species
AUUAAACAAGAGGAUUUCUGGAAACACCGUUUAGCAUUGCUUGAGGCUGCGAACAAAUAUGAUAAUGCAGACCUUAAAGAUGCUUGUGAGGAGAGCCUCGUGGAAGAUAUCAAUACUGGAAAUGUACUUGACAGGCUGCAAGAGGCCUGGCUUUACCAGUUGGACAAGCUGAAGAAAGGAUGCUUGGCGUACUUAUUUGAUUUUGGCAAGGUAUAUGAUGCUAGAGAAGAAAUCAACAACUUUUUCAGGC